rnacentral:rRNA from 1 species
GCUUACGGCCAUACCACCCUGAACACGCCCGAUCUCGUCUGAUCUCGGAAGCUAGCAGGGUCGGGCCUGUCAGUACUUGGAUGGGAGACCGCCUGGAAUACCAGGUGCUGUAGCUU